UUGAUCAACGGGUUUUGUAUGCA
rnacentral:siRNA from 1 species